rnacentral:lncRNA from 1 species
CUUCACCAUUUUUUUUCGAUCCCAGCUUUGACCUCUUCUGCGUGCUCUCAUCAUCUUCAACCAAAAAUGCCUCUGCUCCUCAAUUCUCUCCCUAUAAAAUCAGCCAUAACACGCGCACACACACUCACGAAAUCCACCCCAAAAACAGCAACAGAUCUCCAAUCUCCCUCACCAAAACCCGCCGGAACAUACUACCCCAAAAAUGCAUGAGAUCAGUCCCAAAAAUUGCAGCAAAUUAGCUGCGAAAAUAGCAGAAACGCGGCUGCAAAUCAGCCCAAAAGCGCUCAGGAGCAGUCCGAUGUCAUGUUUGUUCUGUUUCUUCUCUUCCAUUUUGAUUUUUUGCUUCAUAAUGGACUUGAGUUUUGAUAGAAUUUGAGGUGUCUGGGUUUGAUGUUGGCAAAAGCUUUUGUGAGUUUUGUUUUCUCUUUGUGGGUUAAAGUUUAGUUCAUCGCUGUCUCGCUGAGUUCAAAUCUGUUGCGGCUGAGUUUUCAUCUUGACGACGCCUUGCUAUUUUUCACAUGAUGGCUCUUAUUUGGUUCACCUUCCUUGUCUGCAUUAAUUGAGAGGUACACAACUGUAAACAUACACUUUUUCUAGUUGAAUUAAUUUAAAUUGGCUCAUGUUCAUUCCCUACUUCUUCUAUUUUCUUUUACGACCUUGAUGAAUCGGACAGUGUUGAUUUGUUUGUGAAAGAGUGGCUGGAAUCCACGCUGGUUGAUUGCUAAAUCCGUGG